UCUUAGUUUUCCCCAUGGACAAGGAGGUUGUCCAUUGUGCUCCUUGGUUUUAGUCACUAUGGUUCAUCAUCUGUCAGACCUUUGCAGACACUCCAAGAAGCCAUUGGUGCUGGGUAUUUCCUUUUGUUGACGUGAAGGAAUGCACAAGCAGAUUUAACAAAUUUGUCAAUCCAGCUUGUUCACCUUCUUGAAACCAAACCUGACAGUCUUGCAUGCAAAUUACCCGAGAUUUUCAACGAGCAACGAUGAUAAUUGCUGCUGUUUGGUAAUUAUCUCCCCUCAGACAGUCUCAAUUUAUCACAUCGAGGCCUAAAGGCUCCAAUGUCUUCAUCUUCCAAAAGUAUUGAUACAUAGUUCUAUACAUCAAGAAUAAAAAUGGCAUUUUUGCAGCCAUACUUAUUGUCAGGGUCAGAUUGAAUAAGGGAGAAUAUUAAUAAUUUUGGAAGAAAGCGUACCUGCAAGUUGGUCUGAAAUGUCUUGCUGGAAAACCAAACUUUUUCAGCAAUAUUUUGUGGUAAUGUAUUAAAAUCAUCAGAAAAUAAAUUCUUUCUCUGCCUGGCUCUGAUAAAUAGCCUUUUAUGUUCGUGCUUCUAGUACCAAAAUAAAAGUUCAAAACCCAUAAACUGUGCGACAUCUCUCCUGCCUACCUAUAACCUCAUCUUUUCUCCAUCAGGGUAUCUUUAUCAGAAGGUCAUAAAUCACAGCCACUCGCAUUAUGGAGCAGCGACUCUCAGAGAGCUCUGCUAAGGCAGGUUUCAUCUUAAGGUUGCCAAAUCCAAAAGAUUGGUUGACCCGGAAAAUAAAAGGGGAUGAUGCUGUAAAUAUUCCAUACACUUUCUAGAGCUGAGACCAACAGCAGCUGAUGCUGGAGUGCUACAAAAUAUGGAACUGGCAGUAUCAGAGAGGCUAUCACGCACAAGAGCUCCUAGCAUUGGCAUCUGGCAGAUGAAGACUUUGUUUCUGGAAACACAUGCUCUCUGAGAACAAAACAGAGAGUCAUUGUAAAUUAGAUGUGAAAUAACAGCUUUUCCUGGAGGGUGAAUCUGGUGAUCUCAUUCGUAAAGAGAGCCAGAAUAUUUGGGCAGGGUUUCAUCCAGCCAAGGGAGAUUUGGUGGUCCUGAGUGGAGGAGAGCUUGGCAUUGUGAUGGGCAUGUCUCAUAACUAACUGAAAACAAAGCCCUUCCAGUAAGGGAAUAGGUUCAAUGCAUGGACGAGAAUUGGAAGGCUCAAUCCAGGCAAGAUGGGAGCAUCGCUGGAGGAGGGUUCCCCUCCAUCAAGGGCUUGCCUGUUGACUGUUAGGGAGAUUUACAGCCUUCCCUGAGCUACAGGUGAGAUUUCCACUUGGAGCUUGUCACAGUUUGGUACUGAGCUCCAUUAAGCCACUGAUGCCAGGAGGUGGAUGGCCUCUCACCUGUGUCAUUGCUCCUCUACUGAGGCUACAUAUCCCAAAGGAAUGUUAAUCAUGAGCUACUCAUCCAACAGGUCUUCAUGCCAGACAUAGUCUCCCACACAGGUUCCCAAACAGCAACAUUCAGGAACCAUUUGUUGCUCUUGAGAGGUGUUGAGUGUUUCCACCUCAUGCUGUGUGUCUCUAUCAAGGUGUUUAGAAGCCCAACUGCUUCAUAAAUGUGUCCAAAGACACCUUCAUGCAAAAGCCAAAGUGCAGGCAAAUAACCAAUGUAUUUCAAGUUGUCGUGCUUCCUGAGGGCUUCAGCAAGAAAAUCAUUGAUAUCCUCCAGGCUUGAUCAAAACCGAACACCUCAGGACUUCACAAGCAAGACUGGGAGCCGUUUCAGAAAAUGUAGGCCAUAGCUCUGCAAUGUUAAAGUCUUCCGCCUGAAAACCAAAAUUUGCCUUUCUUUUUCUCAGAAGGAUAUGCUCUGACAAACUCCCAGCAAAUGAAAAUUGAGAUUUUGUUCUAUUUAUACUCCUUGAAAAUCCACAGACAAUGUAAGUGAAUUUGUAGUACAAAACGGAACGUAUUAUCCAGACUGGUGAGAGAUAGUUACACAUCCCUCGUACAGCGGUACACAAUAAUCCAGCCAAAAUAUUUCAGAACUAAUUACUGUACAUCCUUCUAAUCCCUGGUAGAGAAAAAUAACCUAUAUUUUUGGAAGUUCAUUGGAAGCAUGUGUUUAAGAUGUUGUUAAUCCUUCAUUCCAAAAUCAUUGGCUGAGUGAUAAUGAAACAGUCCUGUUUGCUCUCAGUGUGUGAAGACCUAAAUCCCAUCUUGGUUAAAGCUGAUUAUUUUCUGUAAAGGAACAUAACUCAAUUCCUUUUCUUCCUGUUUUGCUUUCCUUUCUUUCAGUGAGAAUUUUCCAUUCCUACUUUGGUUUUCUAGAUGGCAACCGGCAGUAGGAAACGAUCGGCUUUAAUCUCAAAUUUCAGAAUCAAUACAGUGUGGGUACUAUUGAUUUUGGCAUACCGGGAUGACCCCGAGGGGGUUUGCAGCAACCAAAGAGGGCUUUUGAUGUUUUUGGACCUUCUUCAAUUAGAAUUGCUAAAAACCUUCCACCCUGCUAAACAGAGGAGAGCCAAAAUAACUUUGCUUUGCAGCCGCGUACCCGUCACAGCACAGCAAGGGCCUGGCACAUGAUGUCCACGGAUCCAGCAACCACAGUGUCCCUCUGCAUCACAGGGCAAAGGAGGGUAAAAAGCUGCCCUUUCACCUAAGACAGGCUAAAGAAAACCAUAGAGCCUUAUUUGCUUCCAUUGAGAAAUACUCAUGAAUCGAUAUUGGAAAUGGAGCAAGGAGUGGCUCUUAUGUCUGAGUUCUGUUUUUUGCCACUCCUGUUGGGAACACAUUUGCAAGCAAAAAAUCUCAGACUUCCUAGGUUCUGAGUACUUCACUCUAUGACUUUAAUAUUCUUUAACCAUAUGGGCUCCUCUGUAAUUCUAAAUGAUUUUUUGAAAGGUCUGGAUUCAAUUUCUCUAAUAGCCUCAGUGUUUUCAGGCCAGCUAAGAUCACUCUUGCAGUUCGGUGUGAGUUUGGGAUGUUGCCCAGAGCAAACAAUAGAGGAGCUGUGGGAUUUUUUUCUUUUUUUUUCUUCUUCUCUCCUAUAAAUUUUAUGAAUUUCAGAUUGAUGUUUGUUGAGUUUAUACAUUUUUUAAAAUAAAUCUCACUAAAGAUGGUCGAAGAACAAAAUAAAUUCUCUUUGCUGCCAUGUGGUCUUUGCAUACCGGGCUGCAUUGAGCUCUAGUACAGCAUCCUCCUCUUCCUCCAGACUACCACCAGCUUGAGACACAUCAAAAGUCUGUCAGCUCUCUCAGCACUCAGCUUUUCCCACCUACUGAAGACACCUCUGAUAGGCUUGCACCAAGUCUAGGGAUCUGGCUGUCCCUGAAGCAGCCCUGGACGCUGUUUGACCACCCUGAAGAUGGCUGAGGUUAGGUGGAUGGGUGCCCUACCAAGUCCCUCUGCAAGUCAAGCACUUGGGAGUAAAAGAAGUCAGUCUCUUCCUUCCAAGAAAUGGUUCAGAGAGCCUAAAUAUGAGGUUUCACAAGAGCUGGUCUGGCAGAUAAUCCUGCUGAGCAUUUCUGCUCAUGUUCCAAGGGAUGGAGUGAAGAUAGUCUUCCAAACCAUGUGGUUUGUUCUGCAAUAGUAAGGAACUGUGGGUGCACAGGAGGAGAGGGUUUAAAUUCAAGGUGGUGCUGAUAAUGUCAUGAAAAGCUCUGAAAAACAGAAAUACAAGAAAAUGUGAUGGGGACGCAGACAGCAGGCACUGUCCUGCACUGCUUCACUGCAGAGGUGGGAAGAAGGAAACCAGGGGGAGGCAGCAGGAGUUGUCAGAGAUGGAGAAAAUACAGCCUGGAAGUAAAGAUUGAGAGGACUGGGGCUGCUUAAUACACAGAAGAGAGCACUGAAGGGAAAACACACCACCGGAUGGGGAUAUAUAUUUAGCAACAGCAAAGAGAAGGUUUUGUUCAGUAGGUCCGUGGAGGAUAGGAGAGGGAAGUGUGCAUGCUGCUGAUUUGGGCGAGGUAUCAGGAGAGACAUCCUAGCAAGCAGCAGAGACAUCUCUGCCAGGCUAUGAGAAGAUCAGAGAAGGCUUAAGGAAGAAUUUGGGAAGCCUCCAUGAGUAUAUUGGUUCAAGACGCCCUGCUCAAGAGCCCGAUGCUGCAGCCUUUCAUUCUGGGGCACAUAGUAGAGCAGGAUGGAAAGGGAGAUGCAUUUUAUAGAGUACUAUGUCUUACAGAGUGGCCUUGAAAUUCAGAAAUGUCUCUGCAUUGGUGGGUAAAACUUGAAAGUUUGGGGAA